CACGUAGGCACCAAGCGUUGUCCGGAUUUAUUGGGCGUAAAGAGCUCGUAGGCGGUUCGAUAAGUCGGGUGUGAAAACUUUGGGCUCAACCCAAAGCGUGCACUCGAUACUGUCGUGACUAGAGUUCGGUAGGGGAGCGGGGAAUUCCUAGUGUAGCGGUGAAAUGCGCAGAUAUUAGGAGGAACACCGGUGGCGAAGGCGCCGCUCUGGGCCGAAACUGACGCUGAGGAGCGAAAGCGUGGGUAGCAAACAGG
rnacentral:rRNA from 1 species